rnacentral:tRNA from 1 species
GGGCGAUUAGCUCAAUUGGCUAGAGCACCUGCUUUACACGCAGGGGGUUACAGGUUCGAGUCCUGUAUCGCCCA